rnacentral:rRNA from 1 species
GAAUAUUGGACAAUGGGCGAAAGCCUGAUCCAGCAAUGCCGCGUGAGUGAUGAAGGCCUUAGGGUUGUAAGGCUCUUUUACCCGGGAUGAUAAUGACAGUACCGGGAGAAUCAGCUCCGGCUAACUCCGUGCCAGCAGCCGCGGUAAUACGGAGGGAGCUAGCGUUGUUCGGAAUUACUGGGCGUAAAGCGCACGUAGGCGGCUUUGUAAGUUAGAGGUGAAAGCCCGGGGCUCAACACCGGAAUUUCCUUUAAGACUGCAUCGCUUGAAUCCGGGAGAGGUGGGUGGAAUUCCGAGUGUAGAGGUGAAAUUCGUAGAUAUUCGGAAGAACACCAGUGGCGAAGGCGGCUCACUGGACAGGUAUUGACGCUGAGGUGCGAAAGCGUGGGGAGCAAACAGG